UGCGCAAUCUACGAGAUUGCGCAGUAUCGAAGCGAAGGCGAUAAGCUCGCCGCCUGGGAAGUACGGUCGCAAGGCUGAAACUUAAAGGAAUUGGCGGGGAGACACUACAAGGGGUGCGGCGUGCGGUUUAAUCUAACUCUACGCAGAGAAUCUCACCAGAAGCGACGGCACAAUGAAAGUCAGAUUGAAGGUUUUACUUGAGGAGCCGAGAGGUGGUGCAUGGCCGCCGUCAGCUCGUGCCGUGAGGUGUCCAGCUAAGCCUGGUAACGAGCGAGACCUGCGUCUACAAUUGCUAACGGAUGCUUUAGCAUGACUGAGCACAUUGUAGGGACUGCCCUGGAACAGGGAGGAAGGUGCAGGCAACGGUAGGUCUGUAUGCCCCGAAUCUUCUGGGUACACGCGCGCAACAAUGGUAAGGACAAUGGGCUACGACUCCGAAAGGAGAAGUUAAUCCUCGAAACCUUAUCCAAGUCCAGAUUGAGGGUUGUAACCCACCCUCAUGACGAUGGAAUCCCUAGUAAUCGGGUGUUAUCAGCGCCCGGUGA
rnacentral:rRNA from 1 species